ACACGCUACAAUGGGAAGGGACAAUAGGGUUGCGAAGCCGCGAGGCGGAGCCAAUCCAGCAAAACUUCCCUCAGUUCAGAUUGCAGGCUGCAACUCGCCUGCAUGAAGUUGGAGUUGCUAGUAAACGCAGGUCAGCCAUACUGCGUUGAAUACGUUCCCGGGGCUU
rnacentral:rRNA from 1 species